GACGAACCGUGCGAACGUUAUUCGGAAUCACUGGGCUUAAAGGGCGCGUAGGCGGGCUCGUAAGUCAGGCGUGAAAUCCCACGGCCCAACCGUGGAAGUGCCUCUGAUACUGCGGGCCUCGAGGGGGAUAGGGGCGUGCGGAACUCAGGGUGGAGCGGUGAAAUGCGUAGAUAUCCUGAGGAACACCGGUGGCGAAAGCGGCGCGCUGGAUCCCUUCUGACGCUGAGGCGCGAAAGCCAGGGGAGCAAACGGG
rnacentral:rRNA from 1 species